UUUUGAACUAGGCUUUAUAAAAGUGACUAACACCGAGUUGAGCGGAAUGGGUUUUGGGUGUUGACUUUAAUCUUAGUGGCGGACGGGUGAGUAACGCGUGAGUAACCUGCCUUUCAGAGGGGGAUAACGUUUUGAAAAGAACGCUAAUACCGCAUAAUAUUCCGGUAUCGCAUGGUAUCGGAAUCAAAGGAGCAAUCCGCUGAAAGAUGGACUCGCGUCCGAUUAGCCAGUUGGCGGGGUAACGGCCCACCAAAGCGACGAUCGGUAGCCGGACUGAGAGGUUGAACGGCCACAUUGGGACUGAGACACGGCCCAGACUCCUACGGGAGGCAGCAGUGGGGGAUAUUGCACAAUGGGGGAAACCCUGAUGCAGCAACGCCGCGUGAAGGAAGAAGGUCUUCGGAUUGUAAACUUUUGUCCUCAGUGAAGAUAAUGACGGUAGCUGAGGAGGAAGCUCCGGCUAACUACGUGCCAGCAGCCGCGGUAA
rnacentral:rRNA from 1 species